rnacentral:rRNA from 1 species
UACGGGGGGGGCAAGCGUUGUUCGGAAUUACUGGGCGUAAAGGGCGUGUAGGCGGCCAACUAAGUCCGACGUGAAAUCCCCAGGCUUAACCUGGGAACUGCGUCGGAUACUGGAUGGCUUGAAUCCGGGAGAGGGAUGCAGAAUUCCAGGUGUAGCGGUGAAAUGCGUAGAUAUCAGGAGGAACACCGGUGGCGAAGGCGGAUCUCUGGGCCUUACCUGACGCUCAGGUGCGAAAGCUAGGGGAGCGAACAGG